rnacentral:rRNA from 1 species
UACGGAGGGUGCGAGCGUUGUCCGGAAUCACUGGGCGUAAAGGGCGCGUAGGUGGCUUGGUAAGCGUGUGGUGAAAGCCCGGGGCUCAACCCCGGGUCUGCCGUGCGAACUGCUAUGGCUAGAGUACUGUAGAGGCAGGUUGAAUUCCGGGUGUAGCGGUGGAAUGCGUAGAGAUCCGGAAGAAUACCGGUGGCGAAGGCGGCCUGCUGGGCAGUUACUGACACUGAGGCGCGACAGCGUGGGGAGCAAACAGG